AACAAACCAAGACUACAGCAAAAACUAGACCAAAAGGAACUGAAAACCCUUAAACACAAACCACAGAAGAAGAGUUACAUAUCCAAAUAUCAGAGGAGGGGCCUCAUAGUUAAACACUGGUAUAGGCUGGAUAUACCUGCAGCCAUGAGGAUGUCUCUGUAGAGGAUUUACUCAGCUCUCUCCCUGUCUUAUCUCUCAGUUGGAUUAUCUAGUCUGUGUCAGGAUGUCACUCAUAUUACUGUUGCUCCUCUCAGCGUUUGUAGGUGAUAGUAUGGAGCAGGAAACAAUAACUCCAGUGAAGCCUGAAGUCAAUGCUCUCCAAGGAACAGACAUCACUCUCUCCUGCAACUACAAGGGCAACAUUAUCAAUCUACAAUGGUACCGUCAUUACCCCGGAUCCAGACCAGAAUGUCUUCUUUGGAUCCUACAAACCAACAAGUAUGUACAGAAUACAUCCAUUACGACUCCACGACACACUGGUAGACUGAAUGAAGAGAAGACCCGUGUUGACUUGAUGAUCUCCUCUGUUGAAUUGGAAGACUCUGCUCUGUACCACUGUGCCUUGCAGCCCACAGUGACAGGAAACCUAGACUCACUGUACAAAAACCUGUCAAGACACUUGAGGGUGAACAGUGCAUUGUAUUUUGAUCAAUCAGUUACUAUUUAGAGUACAUUAAUACAUACAUUUUUUCCCUGAUUAUCCACAUUAAUUGAAAAAGAAGCAAGAAAACACAUUUAACUUAAAUAUUACUGAGGAAAUAAUACUUGACAUUUUCUUCCUGUUUUGAUAUAACAUGAUCAAAGAUACUAGUCUGAAUAAAUACAGAAAGAAGAACAUUUGUGGUGUUGUUUCACUUCCUUUUAGCAGGGGAUCCCAAACAUUUUCAAUCGGUGACCCCAUUCCAGCAUUGUGGAACAUCACGUGAUGUUUAUUCAUGUGAUAUUUGAAUGGGC
ensembl:lncRNA